rnacentral:lncRNA from 1 species
UCAAUAUGCUCUUUGCACACCCUUUUUUUAUUUUGGUGCCUCGUAGCUUACGUCUCGUGGCCUCCAGUCUAGAGCGUUGAGUGUCUGCAGUCGAUGGAUGGAGCUGGUUUGCAUAGCUAAAUUUCAAAAAAAAUAUUUCAAGUUCCGAGGGGUACUGCUGUUUGGUGUGUGGGUGGUGCGACGUAGUGGUUUGGUACAUAAAUCACGUGAAAAACAAGUGGGAUCUGCGGCAACUUGUAGUGGCAGUCGGUGACACAUGGUCAUAGGAGUGCAAUGAUAGAGUUACAUGGUCAUAGAACAUUCACAAUAAAAGGAUCUACG